CAGUCUACCAGUAUCCAUGGGGAUCCAUAGGGGUCCCCACUACACGUGAACCAUUCACUUUAACAACUUAAUUUCAGGGUCGUCCCCAUACCCCGUCCGGUAUGGGCGCUAAAAUGAUAAACCUCAAUACCCCGUCUGGUAUGAGGGUGAAGCGGGCCGUCCUCAUACCCCGUCUGGUAUGAGCACCAAAACAUUUAAAGUCUCAAUACUCCGUCUGGUAUGAGAGACAACGUUC
rnacentral:lncRNA from 1 species